rnacentral:rRNA from 1 species
GACGAACGCUGGCGGCGUGCUUAACACAUGCAAGUCGAACGGAAAGGCCCUGCUUUUGUGGGGUGCUCGAGUGGCGAACGGGUGAGUAACACGUGAGUAACCUGCCCUUGACUUUGGGAUAACUUCAGGAAACUGGGGCUAAUACCGGAUAGGAGCUCCUGCUGCAUGGUGGGGGUUGGAAAGUUUCGGCGGUUGGGGAUGGACUCGCGGCUUAUCAGCUUGUUGGUGGGGUAGUGGCUUACCAAGGCUUUGACGGGUAGCCGGCCUGAGAGGGUGACCGGCGACAUUGGGACUAAGAUACGGCCCGGACUCCUACGGGAGGCAGCAGUGAGGAAUAUUGCACAAUGGGCGGAAGCCUGAUGCAGCAACGCCGCGUGCGGGAUGACGGCCUUCGGGUUGUAAACCGCUUUCGCCUGUGACGAAGCGUGAGUGACGGUAAUGGGUAAAGAAGCACCGGCUAACUACGUG